UCUUAGUUUCCUUGGGAAAGGUCAAAUGGGGAAGCAAGCUAGCAGCUUGGAGGUGAGCUAUACCUCACAGAAAUCAGAGACUAUGUCACAAUACCAGCCAAUUCCAUGCUGACAGCAGGUGGGGAAGAAAGAACAGGUUCAGGCUGUGGAAGUGGAUGGAGCAAGAGAGUAAGCACCGGUCCCCAAAGGUUGAACACCAAAUAUCUUAGAAAUAUGAAGAAAAAGACAACAGAACUAAUUCUAUGCUUGAUUUAUCAGCGCCAGGUAAAAAAAAGAACCAGUCCUGACAACCCUGUGCAGCUGAGGAGUGAAGACAAGUUUGGCUGCAAAAGAUCCCAGCUCAUCUUCUUAUAGCAAUUUCUGGUCUAAGCAAUGAGCCACCAGCUUCCUGUAGCAAGACUGGGGACCAACUGAAGAACAAGGUCAAAUCCAACAGGAUUGGUAUUGCCUAUAGCUCCUUUCCUGGCCUCACUCCUACCGUCUUAAGAUCUGGAUGCUACAGAAACAACGUAGUUCCCUCCCAUUUCUUCUUUCUAGAUCACUGUAACCCAAGCUCCCAGCAGUCUGACAGUAGUAAAACAUGAGUGCUAAUAGCUAUAGUGUUAUUAAGUAAAGUCUUAAAAAGGGCUUGAAAACCCAGGUGAUUAAAAAAAAAAUCUGUACAUAACUUAACAGACAUUAAAAAUCCUAAUCCUAUUCUCCACCUCAUUCCCAGCAUCCAUAACCUCCAUUCCUACCUAAUGAGAAGAAACAAGUAUGAUCCAGCUCUUCAACACUGGCCUCUAAGACUUCUCCAGUCAAGGGUACAGUGUCCUUUGUGAGCUAACCCAGUGAGUGCCCUUGAUGCCUUUUUUUCACAACUCUUGAGAGAUAAGUCUGUUUACACCCUCCUAAUAUUCUGCCAGCAUCUUCAACCUUCUUCCUAUCUACAGUAUACACAUGCGGGUCUUCACAUGAAGUGGAGGAAUUUGGGCUGAUUCAGCUGUCACUGCCCCCACCCCCCAACACCUUUCAAGAGUGUUCUUUACCUUUAUACCUUUCCCUGAAUUUCCUUUUCCUCCAGCCCUCAGAAACCAGGUCCUCUCCACACCUAAAAAGGAUCCCAAUAACCUGCUUCAUGACAGAUCCCACUUUAUAUUCCUUGAAAUAUAAAUUCGAUGUGGACCAUUCCCCCUUGCCUUUGGCUUCCAUAAAUAUGACACAAUCCUGGUCCUACUCAGAGCUCACCAGCUAUCUGCUGGGCGCUUCUACCAGAUGACUGCAGGCAUUGUCCAGGGCUCCAUCUGACUCCUCUCUCCGUAAGCCAUGGGCUGGGAGGCCUCCUUCAGGCCACAGUUUAACUGUUAAUCACUAUACACACAGCUCUCCAAUUCUAUCUAGUCUCAGCUCUUUCCCAAGUUGCAGUCUCCUCUCUCCAACUAGCAACUCAGCAUAUGUUUUUGUCUUGUUUUUUAAGUAGGCUCCACACCCAACGUGGAGCUUGAAUUCACCAUCCUGAGAUCAAGAGUAGGAUGCUCUGGGUGCCUGGGUGGCUCAGUUGGCUAAGUGUCCGACUCUUGGGUUUCAGCUCAGGUCAUGAUCUCAUAGUUUCAUGGGUUCGAGCCCCAUGCCAGGGUCUGCACUGACAGUGCGGAGCCUGCUUGGGAUUCUCUGUCUCCCUCUCUCUCUCUCUCUGCCCCUCCCCCAACUCACACUGUCUCUCUCAAAAUAAAUAACUUAAAAAAGAAAAAAAAAAGAGUAGGAUACUCUAUCAACUGAGUCAGACAGGCACCCAUAAGUAUUUUUUUUUUAAGUUUCACUAUAUGGAACUUAACUUCUCCCCCAAAAUGAGUUUUCCUUUUAACUUUUCCGUCAACGAGAUCUUUCUCCGCACGCCCUUCAAGAUCAUUAAAUUUUCUACCCAGUAGAAGCCACUUUCUCUCUCAGAUCUAUACAUUUUUUCCUGCAUACCUCAUAAAUGGGACUAGAUGGCUAUGCAAAUGAGACAAAGGGGUACAACUCCACACCUCUCACCAGAAUUUUUUCAACAGUUUAACUGCUGCCCUUGCUUCCAGACUCUCCCCUUUUCAAACCACACUAUACACGAAUGGAUUACUUUUUAUAUCAUUAGUUUUAUCACGUUACUGCUCUAAUUCCAUAUCUAGUCUGCAGGCCUGUAAGAUCAAAUCCAAAUGGCUUACUUGGCCCACCAGGGUCCUAAUCCCUUUAAUCUAGCUUUCCUUCCUGUUACUGUCCACCCCCUGGAAGCUGGAUCCUGACCAACCCCCUAAUAUUAUCUAUACUAUACC